AUUACCCUGCUGUGUUUGUGAUGUUGUUAAAUAUUCUGUGCCAACACCAACAAAAUGGGCGUUUAAUUUUGAUUACGAUGCGAUAGGCAAACAGUUAGCCAAGGCAGACUAGUCAGUGCGAUGCCCCGCCUGCCAAAAGCAGGCGCAGAAUCAAAUCAGCACACCACAUGGCGGGGUUACU
rnacentral:other from 2 species